GAGAGAGCUUGCUUUCUCAAGCGAGUGGCGAACGGGUGAGUAACGCGUGAGGAACCUGCCUCAAAGAGGGGGACAACAGUUGGAAACGACUGCUAAUACCGCAUAAGCCCACGACCCGGCAUCGGGUAGGGGGAAAAGGAGCAAUCCGCUUUGAGAUGGCCUCGCGUCCGAUUAGCUAGUUGGUGAGGUAACGGCCCACCAAGGCGACGAUCGGUAGCCGGACUGAGAGGUUGAACGGCCACAUUGGGACUGAGACACGGCCCAGACUCCUACGGGAGGCAGCAGUGGGGAAUAUUGCACAAUGGGGGAAACCCUGAUGCAGCGACGCCGCGUGGAGGAAGAAGGUCUUCGGAUUGUAAACUCCUGUUGUUGAGGAAGAUAAUGACGGUACUCAACAAGGAAGUGACGGCUAACUACGUGCCAGCAGCCGCGGUAAAACGUAGGUCACAAGCGUUGUCCGGAAUUACUGGGUGUAAAGGGAGCGCAGGCGGGAAGACAAGUUGGAAGUGAAAUCCAUGGGCUCAACCCAUGAACUGCUUUCAAAACUGUUUUUCUUGAGUAGUGCAGAGGUAGGCGGAAUUCCCGGUGUAGCGGUGGAAUGCGUAGAUAUCGGGAGGAACACCAGUGGCGAAGGCGGCCUACUGGGCACCAACUGACGCUGAGGCUCGAAAGUGUGGGUAGCAA
rnacentral:rRNA from 1 species